UACAGAGGGUGCUAGCGUUGUUCGGAAUCAUUGGGCGUAAAGGGCGUGUAGGCGGUUUGUUAAGUCAUGUGUGAAAUCCCUCGGCUCAACCGGGGAACGACGCAUGAAACUGGCAAGCUAGAGUACCAAAGAGGGGGGUGGAAUUCCCGGUGUAGCGGUGAAAUGCGUAGAUAUCUGGAGGAACACCGGUGGCGAAAGCGGCUCACUGGACCUGAUCUGACACUGAGGUGCGAAAGCUAGGGUAGCAAACGGG
rnacentral:rRNA from 1 species